AUCAGUAAAUUUGGCUAGUCUUUUUAGCUAAUCUCUUGGAGUUGCUGUAACUAUUAGUUCUAGUACAUUCAAACACACCCUAAGAAACCGUUCGGAAGCCAUUUUUUUCCAGCGGAUGUAGCUAGUGACACCUCAAAUGAUACUGUAGAAAAAAAAAGUAGGCGUGCCUUUCAAAAUAUUAUUCAUUUUAGCUCUUGAUUUUUAUGUUAAUAAUUUAAUAAAUAGAUGACAAUGAAUAUAGACACGUGUAAUAUACAUCCAUUUAUGAAUUAAUUAAUUACUUAAGACGAAUUUUAAUUUAGGAUGGAAGGAGUAUUAACAAUCAUAUCUCUAAGUAAAUUAAUUAUAUUGUAUAGCUAAUUAAAUGGUACUCAUAUUAUAUUAUAAAUAUUUAUAUUCUAUAUAUAUAUAUAUGUAUUUAGCAUUUAAACUAUUUAACUUUUCAAAAACAAGAAUUACAAAUUACAAAUGGAGAGACGUGUAGAUAUGUAUGUACUAAUUAGUUGCCGGUGUCUCACUGCGGUUUUCAGGCUAUGCGCGUGGGAGGAUGGAAAUUUAGGUACCGUUUGGUUCAAAUAUUUGUAACGUAAUGGGUAAGUGAUAACGUUGAAUCAUGUUUAUUUUAGUUCAACUGUAAUCAGAUACCAUAUUAAAAAUUGAUACCGGACUAUUAUUUAAACUUGUUACCACCCGUAAUCAAGUGUAAAUCAUUACCAUUACCCUUUACGUUACAUUUCGUGAACCAAACAACACCUUAGAUAUUUAUAUUCAGUCGAACGUUGCUGCCAACGGCCCCAGAUGAAAGGAAAAGGAAACAAAAGCGCAAGCAACCUGACCUUGUUGCCACUCCUUAUAUGAACAUCCAGCUACGCCCUAGCUAGCUAGAUAGCGGCUUAGCUUACUAUUGCGUGAAUGAUAGCAGGUAGCCAAGAUCUAAAACUUUGUCGACCUUCCGAUCGCGAUCGACGAUGGAUCAAGAGCACGGACAGGCCAACAAGUGUGGUCUACCACGCAUUGAUUCCAGACAAGACUCGGCAUGCGAGAAUUAAUUGAAAGCAACGACGACACGGGGUGAGCGGGGGGUGUUUCUGUGAGCAUGUAGCAUAGCAUACCAGGCAAACCUUGCACUGUGGUGGGCGGGGUCACCGCCAUCGGUGGAAUUGAAGCGAAGUGGUGCAAGCACAGUGCUCAGCCAUAGUGGGGGAGGAGAGGAGAGCCCGACGGCGGCUGCUGAUGAGGGGCCAUGCCCAUGCGUGUAUGCAAAAGACAAGGGGAGGGCGAUUCAUUAGCUUCCUUUUCCUCGCAUCACAGGCACAGCGCGGGGGGCCGGGCUGGCGCUGCUGGCCCACCGCGCGCGCGUCCCGUCGCGUGAGAAAGUCACAGGGGGAAGUCUGCACUCUGCAGGGAGGGCCGGAGGGGGAAAAAGGCUAGCUACUGUUCUUCUUCCUCUCCCGGCCUCUUGCCCUCUUCAGGGAUUUGGACACCUUUCAUUAAUUACAUACCCUUGCUGCUAAUAUGCUUGUUGAUUGGUCUCUAGAAAUAAUCUAAAUCAUUUAAAGAAGCCCAAGCAGCAGGAUUCAUCGAAGAGAGUGGGACUCUGGGUGAUAUAUGGGAGACUGUGUCAAGCAGUGAUCUUGUUUUGCUACUGAUAUCUAAUUCUGCUCAGGUCCGCUUCAUUGAUCUAGAUAUAUGCUUAGAAGCUUUGCACUUUGAAUUGAUCAACACUUUGUGUUUUCAACUAUUAUUGUUUUGAUUGUGUUGCUUUGAAGUGAGACCGAUUAUUAUGUUUAGAACUUUUCCUUAUGACUAACACAAUUCUUAUCAACUUUUUAUGCUACUCGUUAAGGGCUUUAAGAAUGAGCUUUAGAUUGCAAAAA